AUGGUGAGGGUGGAUAAAGAGGAUUUGCGUAUGUACAAGGCUAGGCUGACUUAUUCACUUAGAUGCUUGAGGUUUCUUUUGAACCAAGGAUUGGCAUUUCGUGGACAUGAUGAGAUUGAAGAAUCUAGCAAUAGGGGGAACUUUGUUGAACUUCUUAAGUGGCUUUCAGAAAAUGAUGAAGAAGUUAAUAAACUUGUUUUGAACAAUGCUCCUGGGAAUUGCAUCUUGACUAGUCCAAAGAUACAAAAUCAAAUAAUUGAAUGUUGUGCGGUGCAAACAACAAAAAGAAUUAUUGAAGAUAUUGGUGAUGACCACUAUGCAAUCCUACUGAUGAGUCUAGUGAUGCAUCUCAUAAAGAACAACUUGCUCUCUGCAUACGAUUUGUUGAGAAAUCGGGAAGAGGAUGUGAGAGGUUCCUUGGAGUUGUUCAUGUUGCCAAUACAACUUCAUUGUCACUUAAGGAUGCAAUUCAAACUUUGCUUAAAGAUCAUCAUUUGA
rnacentral:rRNA from 1 species